CCCAACACUCAGUUUCAUUUAUUAGAAACAUCUUACAUUAGUUUGGGACAUUUGUUGCGAUUAAUGACCCAAUACUGACACAUUAUUAUUAACUAAAUUCCAUACUUUUUUCAGAUUUCCUUUGUUUUCACCUAGUGUUCUUUUUCUGUUCUAGGAUCCAAUCCAGGAUAAUUUAUUACAAUUUAUUUGUCAUAUCUCCUUAGAUUCUUCUUGGCUAUCACAGUUUCUCAGACUUUAUUUUUCAUGACUUUGGCAGCUUUGAGGAGCACUGGCCAGAUGGUGAGAACUGGUCUGAAUGUACAAUUCAGUCUUAGUGUUUUCCAUCAAGGUGUCACCAAUCUUCCAGUCUCCCAGGCAGAAGUCUUUGAGAGCUUCAACCAGCACUACUACUUGAGGACCUAUACAGUGUUUGUCUGUGAGCAUGGAAUGACUCAUACUGGCAUCAGAGUUAGGGACUCACUUUAAAGGAAAGGGGAUGCAGUAGUGGGCAUAUGACUAAGAAAUCCACCGAUCCUCUCAUAUACUGCACCACCAGAAGCUGCUGGAUUAGCAGAGCAAAGGUCACACAACGUUUUCCUGAAUCGGAUUCUGGGUUAAAGCUGCCAGUAGGAAGAAUUCACAUGAGAUUUGAAAGGUGGAAGAGAAGGAGAAGGUGUUUUUUUCUUGAAACAGUUUGGCUGGGGAGCUGAGAUCUUCACUGAGGGCUUCCUUUGGCUCCGGGUUCCUGUGGACAGGCAGCCGAUGUCAUCAGUGGUGGCUUCUCUGUGAUCACUAUACCACCAGGUCUCCUAAAGUGGCCUUCUUGACCUUUGCUUCCCCAGCUCUUUCAAUGGUUAUGUGAAACUCUAAUUAUGUACAUUAAAUAUCUUUCAGCUCAAAAUA